rnacentral:rRNA from 1 species
UACGUAAGGGGCAAGCGUUAUCCGGAUUUACUGGGUGUAAAGGGAGCGUAGACGGCAGUGCAAGUCUGAUGUGAAAGCCCGGGGCUCAACCCCGGGACUGCAUUGGAAACUGUGCAGCUAGAGUGUCGGAGAGGUAAGUGGAAUUCCUAGUGUAGCGGUGAAAUGCGUAGAUAUUAGGAGGAACACCAGUGGCGAAGGCGGCUUACUGGACGAUAACUGACGCUGAGGCUCGAAAGCAUGGGUAGCGAACAGG